CCCUUAGAUGUUCUGGGCUGCACGCGCGCUACAAUGGGUGGAAGAACGUGUUACUGCCUCCGAAAGGAGGGGUGAAUCACGAAUUCUUGCCCGUGAAUGGGAUAGUUUGUUGCAAUUUUCGGACUUGAACUAGGAAUCCCUUGUAAACAUGCUCAAGAAUAGCGUGUUGAAUACGUCCCUGCCGUUUGUACACACCGCCCGUCGUUUCUUCCGACUGAUACUCAUUGUGAGUUGCAAGGACCCUUUAUUGGGAAAUUGCUGCAAAUGCUUUGUAUUGGAGGAAGAAAAAGUCGUAACA
rnacentral:rRNA from 1 species